UGCAAAGGAACCGUAGGGCAGCCCAGCCUCAGGCUCGUAGCGGUUGCAGCCAGAAGAGCCUGGUAGCUGUGAAAGGUGUGGGGCCACUUGUCCCUUGUGCCGAGCACGAGCUUGCGUUCACCUCUGGCAGCUACGGCCGCUGCUCAGCGUGGGUGGGCACACGUAGAGGAGGCGCCGUGCAGUUUGGGGUUUGGGCCGUGUGCACGGGUUCUGGCUGGGCUGGUGCUCGUCCACUCUGCCGGGCCUAGUCCUGAGCGGGCACUGGCUGGAUGGAGUUGGAGCUGUGCGUGUGGGUCCCUGCCAGUAGCUUGGGUUUGGGGCAGUGGCGGCAGAAACUGAAAGCAGCUUUCUUUGCCUGCGCAGCCUGGGGAGGCAGUUCAGGCGCACCCCGCUGCAUGCCCAGAGGCAGCGGGAUGCACCAGAGGCUAGACAGUGAUUGGGCAAGACAGGAUUGAGGUACCUGCCAAGGGGCAGACUGAGUCCCUCCAUGGGCCACAUCUGCCCAUGCUACUCAUGGUGUUUCAUAUGGAACAGGUUUUAGGAGCAGAGUAUCUGGAAGGAGGACUACUGUUGUAAAACUGUCCGUCUCCCUGCAGCUGUCUCCCCACACGGAUUUGUGGCGCUGAGCAGCCGUAAUAUGCUGGUGCCCUGCCCAUGGCGUUUUCCCUCCCCCCUCAAGGCCAGUGCCCCUCGCUCCCCUUUUCUAUGCUGAUGCUGAAACCUGUCUAGAGAGCAGGUUGCAAAGCACCACACUUUCAUUUUUUAAGCAGAAAAAGAAAUGAAAAAACCUGUUGUUGUUCAGGAAGCACCGCAGGACAUCAGUUCAACUUCAGGGGAGUUUGAGAUGUGUGGUAUACAGAUUCUCACCUGUGCAGGAGGGAGGAGGAGGCUAACAGCAGAUUGUCUCCACUUUGCAAAUGUCUUUUAAAGCUUUCCUCUGUUCACAUCGAAUGUUUACGUGUGGUUUUUGCUUUGUUUUUUAAAUGGAUAUUCCGAUACGUGUCAAGCAGAUUGGCGUCGCUGGAAGUUUGGGAAUGGGAGCGAAUCCGUUUUCCAGCGGACUUGGGAGAUGUCAAUGAGCGGGGGCCCGUGUCCCUGGAAAAAAUACAACUCUGGAAGGGAAGAGCACUGCUCAUCUCUUUCCCUGCCCACCUGGGAAUGCUCCUUGUCCUGUUUUGUUUCUUUUACUCUGCUGUCUAGACCGAUUUUUAAUUUACAAAGGUUCACAAAACCAAAAAUCAGUUGGUAUUUUAAGCUGCUUUUUUCCCACCUUUUCAGGAAGCAGUUACUCAUCUUUGGUCUUGCCUGGUAUUGAAGGCUGGAGAAACAGAUUCUUAUUGUACUUUCUCAGGCCAUUGCUUGUGAUGUAAAUGCAGGCUUAUUACUUGUUAACAGUUGCAAAGAGCAUGUUCAUCUAACACAGGAGGUACAUGGUCCCACUAGGGACCUCUUACUGGACUUGGUGCUGGCGACAGGGGAUGACCUGGUAGGGAAUUGACUGACUCGAGGUAACCUAGGGGACAGUGACCAUCCAUUGAUUGGAUUCACUAUCUGGCACAGGGUGGGAAAAAUAACCAGUAGGGUAGGAGUGCUAGACUUCAGUGUGGUCAGGAGAUUAGUUAGCGAGGCGCUGAAGGACAAGAGCACUGGUAAGAUGGGAGUCCAGGAAUGGGAGUUGUUCCUAAAGGGAGCAAUCCUACAGGUGUAGGAGAAGAUGAUCCCGUUGCACAGGAGAGGGGAAAGAGGGGCCAAGAAACCCUCUUGGCUGAACAGCAAAAUGCAGGAAAACCUAGGGGCAAAAAAGAGGCAUAUAGACAGUGGAAGCAUGUGAGAUUUACCAAGGUGGAGUAUACCUACUUGGCCUGCACUUGCAGGGAGGCAGUUAGAAAGGGUGAAGCAGAAAUGGAGCUUGGGCUGGCAACAAAAAUUAAAAACAAGUAAAGUCUUUCUUUAGGUGUAUAAGGAGUAAAAAGAAGGUGCCAUGGUAGCAUAGGAACCCUACAGGACAAACUAGGGUAAAUAGUGAUAGGUGGGGUGAGCGGGGCAAGGUUGAGCUCUUCAGUGAGUUUUUUGCUUCUGUAUUCCUGAACAUGGAACAGGACAAGUCUCCCAGUUGGAUGCUAGACAGGCAUAAAAGGGACAUCAGCCCACCAAGUGUUUGUGCCAACUUGGUGAAGAGGCACUUGGAAAGACUGGGUGUGUUUAAGUCAGCAGACCCACGUGAUCUUCAUCCAAGGGUGCCAAAGGAUUUGGCAGCAUUAUAGGAGAGCCCCGACACAGCUGUUUGAGCACUCGUGGCACUCGGGUCAGGUCCCAGAGGGCUGGAAAAGGGCCAGUGCGGUCCCUACCUUUAAGAAAGGAAAGGAGGAUCCGGGUAACUAGACACCAGUUAGUCUCACUUCUAUUCUGAGGAAAACCUUUGAAAACAUUAAGGAUCACAUUUGUGGGAGUCCUGGAAGGUGGGGGGAUGCUGAAGGGCAGUGAGCACAUAUUCAUAGCAGGUAGAUCCUGCCUGACUAACCUUGUUUCUUUUUAUGACCAGGUCACAAAAUGCUUACACAGAGGAAUUGAGGUAGAUGUCAUCUACUUGCAUUUUAAGAAGGCCUUCAAUAUGGUAUCUCAUUCUAAUGUCAUUAAUAAACUGAGCCGCUGUCACGUAGAUGAUUACACGAUCAGGUGGGUGGCAAAAUGGCUCAGCGUCAUACCCAGAGAAUAGCGGUGGAUGGGUCGGUAUCGACCUGGAAAGAUGUGGGCAGUGGAGUCUGACAAGGCUCGGUCCUUCGACCUGUGCUGUUUAAUGUCUUCGUGAGUCACUUGGAUGAGGGCAUGGAAAGCACUCUGUCCAAAUAUGCAGAUGAUACCAAAUUUAUGGGUAACGUUAACAUGCUAAAGCAGAGGUCCUCAAACUGUGGUCUCUGGACCAGCGCUGGUCCACAAGCUCCAUGUAGGUGGUCCUCAGAAAGGUUGCAGAACAAUUGAGAAUCUCUGCAUUUGGCCCUGCAGUUGAUUACUUUUUUUUCCGGUGACGGAGAUUAAGCGGUCCGCUGAGACCCUCGGCAAUUUUCAAGCGGUCCGUGCAAAACAAAGUUUGAGAGCCGGUGCGCUAGAGGGUUGGGACCAAAUCUGUGGGCACCUGGGCAGGUUGGAAAAAUGGGCAGACCAGAAUAGGAUGCAGUUGAACAAAGACAAGUGCAAAGUGCUGCACCUAGGGAGAAGGAAUCACCGGCACGCUUACAGGCUGCGGGAGGGCUUUCUCAGCAUCAGAGCAGCGGAAAGGGAUCUCGGAGUCAGCGUUGAUACCGAGAUGAGUGUGAGUUGUCAACGUGACAAAGCGAUUGGUAAAGCUAACUGCACUUUAUCAUGUGUUCGCAGGUGCAGGACAAACAGGUCCAGGGAGGUGAUGCUUACCCUCUACGCGACAUUGGUCGAGCUGCAGUUGGAGUACUCUGUCCGGUUUUGGACGCCACACUUCAAGAGGGAUGUGGACAACCUUGUGAGGGUUCAGAGGAGGGCAAAAGCUAGUCCUUGCGCUCCUGUCGUUGGAACCAGCUUAUCGGCGAGGAAGCGCAGCGUGACAUUCGGAACCAAAAGGCCCGGAGUAGAAGGGCCCCCGACAUCCGUCGCAUCUGCAACGGGUCCCUGCGUGAGCUACUGAGAAACGAGCGUUUGGGGCCCGCACCGGUCUCUCGGAAACAUCCGAGCCAGCCCUGGCAGCAGGUGCCUGCGCGUUCCUGCCUCGUACGCGGUCAGGGAACGCUACGCACCAGCAGUUGCCUCGGCUUCUGACCGGACGCACGCCGUUUGCUUGCAAGCAUCCAAAGCUAGCACCUCCAGCGGCUGCAGCUGUUGCUUCCCAACUACUAGGAGAGCCUUGCAAAAGCAAUGGCCUGCCCCUGGGCCAGGCUGAUACCAGUGGCUCAGACCCAGAGACUUGCUGUUGUACCUCCCGGUGUCUGGAUUAGGUGUCGAGCGCUUGGAACUCUGGCAGCUUCAGCACAUAUUAACCUCUCGUCCUCCUGUGGCCAACACCACGGAGCCCGUGACCCUAAUGUUUCUGUCAGCCUCUGUCCCACCCUUCCCCUGAAGGCCUCCCGUGAAAUCCCGUGUCCCAUCACAGUCUGCAGGUUGGCUCCAGCGGUAUUUCCCAGCUGCACGUGGAGAGUUGCAAGGGAGUGUCAGCGAGGAGCUGCAGCGUGAAAGAAGUGGGACUUGGAAAUAUCCAAGGGACCACGGGUAACAGGUGAGUGUGAGUUUCUGCCUUAAACACUCUGAUGGGGUAAAAUGCACCCGCAGCUGCUUACGCUUCUGCCUGGAGGUGCAUCAUCUGCGUGUCACUCCCCAUUUAUGGGGGCCUCAAUUCACCUCCUUCCGCCGCACCUGAUUUACAUGUGGGGACCCACUCUUCAGCCUGUGGGCAGGCAUGUACCUGUGUACAUGGUCACAUGCACAUAGCACCCCUUUGUGACCCCUCCUCCUGUUUCCCUGAGCACCUUGCAGGAUGGAAGUCUGGCAGCCUGCAAGGAGAAACCCACCAUUGGUCAUGCUGUUCCCCUUUAGAGGUGAAAAUCUGGAUUUUUCUCAUUUAAAGGAGAAAAUCUGGGGGCGCUGGGUAUCAGCAAAUAAAAACCUAGGUUUCCGGACUAGCCCAGGGAUUGACACGACACUCGGUUCUAGGAGUGACGGAAAGGCUUUAUUUACUACAAGUAUUUAAGAUCAAGUCAGGCAAAUCCAAACCAAAUCAAAGUCCAGUAAUUAGCUGUAAGGUGAAGAUUUCUCGCCAAACAGGCGACAAAGAGGCGGUCUGUUUCCCUUCACCUUGUAGAGUAAGUUGGGUGCGUCGGCAAGCCGUGUCAGAGAGAUUUUUCACUCCUGAAGCGUGCGUGUGCUGUGUGCUGUUUUACUUUUUAUCCCCUUACUUUAGCAUCUUCAAAGCAUUCUUUUAGUUGUGUAAAUUAAGAUGGAGUCCCAAACAGUAACCGACAGGAAAAACCUGCCAAGUACCGGUUAUCAGAAAUUUCUAAUGCGAACGAGUUAGCUUCUUCGGUAACGAGAGGUUAUUCAGUUUGGAACGUAUCGAGAAACCGAUUAACUGCUAGGAAAAACAUACUAAAUCAGGAGGAGACAUCUAUUACAUACGGAGAAUGUGUUUCAGCAUAUAAACGCGACUUAGUCGGAAAAGAGAUAUUUAUCGUGCUAAUUAAUUGAGGAUAGACGCUUCAUACCGUUACACACCAGACAACUAAGAGUCUGUGCGAAAUCAUCCUGAAUAUAGCCCGAUAAGAUGGAAGAGACUUCAUAAUUCUUUCUUAGGUGGCCUGGCCAUGAAAUUGCAUUGUCUUGCAUUAUGCAGUUAGCGUUAUUAUUCAGUAUUUUAACUUUUGUGAGUAGGGCCAAGCUUUACAUGAUUUUCAGAGUCGUUACUGGGUCGGGGUUCUUAAGGUGACAUACUGGGUUUUACUGCAUUUUUCCCUGGUGAAUGCAAAACCCGGGUCCCUGCCAAUUACCCUUUUUGUACGUGAAGUGAAGACGCUAUGACAUUUGCCGGUGAUGCUCUUAGCGUAUAAAGGAUUACAACCCUCCAAAUUGGAUAAAGCAGCUAGAGACAGGGCUAGAAUAUGCACUUUUAUUGAUCACACCUCGAGGCAUAAGAAUAAACCCUUUGUGCUAUGCCUACCUAGUGACUUGUCACACCACAAUACAGAUUGUCCAGUCUACCGGCUGGGGGAGAUGCAGGAGGAAGGAGGAGGCUAACACGAGGUUGUCUCCACUUUGCAAAGGUCUUUGUAGUUUCCCUUUUGUAAAAACCUAAUUUUUACGUGGGCUUUUUAAAUCGAUAGUUUGUCGGGCGUCACGUAGACUCGUUUUGCUGAAACUUUGGGAACGGGACCGAACCCAUUUUCCUGUGCGCUUGGACCUGCAGAUGGCUGGGGCCCGUGUCCCUGGGGAAACUCCGAGUCUGGAAGGGAGGAACACUGCUCAUCUCUCUCCCUGCCUGCCUGGGAACGCUCCUUGCCUUGUGUUUGUUAGACUCUGCCAUUCAGACCUAUUUUAACUUGUAACAGGGUCACAAAACCAAAUGCCAGUUGCUGCUCGUAGCUGCCGUUUCCCAUCGUUCCAGAAAGCAGCUACUCGCUCUUGGUCUUGUCUGGUAUUAAAGUCUUGAGAAACAGAAUUUUAUUCCACUUUUUUUGGCCGUUCCUUGGGAUGUAAGUGUAGGCUCACAGCCUAUUCCUUGUAUGCCAGCUUAAGCACGUGUCGUUCUUAAGUUAGGCUUCUGGUAGGUGUGUAGUCUGCAAUACUGAGCGUGGUCUGUCAGGCCCUGACCAUAUUUUCAGUUUACACCGAGGGGAAUCUGCCCAUAGCCUUCCUUCCCCUUUCUCAUCACCAUCUUCGUAACAUCCCUGCCUCUUUACUUGUCGCUCAUUUCAGGAGCUGUUGUGUGCCAGUGCUUCUGUUCCCUGGUGCUUUCCCCGGGUACCCACCCUGUCUCCUGUACGUGGUGGAGGACCGGUUUAAGGAGUUGCACGGAGGGCCUCACAGAAGUCCUGUGUGGUCACGGGUUUACAAUGAAGACUUGCAGCUGUGUGUUACUAUUUCUGGGGUGUGCCGUGUGUGAGGUGCAGCUGUCAGAGGAACGCUUUGGAGAUGUCGCUCACGCAGGGAAGCAAAAUUGUUCUGCUCCCCACUACUGAGCUUUAAAGGGUGAUACCUGUGAGACAUCACAUCCCCUGUCCAAACCUGAGCCAUCUGAGCAGGGGAAGUGGCAUGGGAGCGGGGGCCAAGAUACCUGGUUGACAGCCCAGACUGCAAGUUGAAGGCUGCAAUGGAAGCGCUCAGAGUGUGGCCUGUCAGAUUCCAACAAAAUCUGUCAAGUCUUACAUGUAGCUUAUCACAAGGAAAAGAAAAAGAAAAGGACAUGAGCAGGGGCCCAUGUUAGAGUCUUAGUGCAUUGGUCAGCGAUUGGGGGUGAGGGGGUGCAUGUCCCUCCUUCACUGCUUGUGUGUUGACUGUCAUUGUUAAAGGACCAGGGUUGGGGGCGGGGGCAUUCUUGGCUGCUUGGCCAAGUGCCUGGGGGAAGAGCUAGGAGGGAGGGGGAGGUUCAGCAACCCCGGACUGGCCAGGUCUCCCCCUGCCUCCCACAGGGCUGCGCUACCUGCUACUGGCAGUGACUCUGCCUGGAGCAGUUGGCAGGCCCUUGUAAGCAGCCUGCACUGCUUGGGAGAUGUGGGCUGUGACACCUUGGUUUUCUGGACUGUGGUAAGAAAGCAAACAGCCUUGUAGUACAGGCUUCAGUUGUGGGACUGCACCCUGUUGUUGAGACCCCCCCCAGGGGCUUAUUUCUUGUAUGUCCAUGCAGGAUAGUUGGAGGGGUGGGGAAUGGAAGGAAGAGGCAU